rnacentral:tRNA from 1 species
GCAUUGGUGGUUUGGUGGUAAAAUUCUUGCCUUCCAUAUGGAAAAUCUGGGUUCAAUUCCCAGCCAAUACA